rnacentral:rRNA from 1 species
AACGAACGCUGGCGGCAUGCCUAACACAUGCAAGUCGAACGAGCCCUUCGGGUCUUGUGGCGCACGGGUGCGUAACGCGUGGGAACCUGCCCUUAGGUUCGGAAUAACUCCCCGACAGGGGUGCUAUUACCGGAUAAUGUCUUCGGACCAAAGAUUUAUCGCCUUUGGUUGGGCGCGCGUUGGAUUAGCUAGUUGGUAGGGUAAAAGCCUACCAAGGCGACGAUCCAUAGCUGGUCUGAGAGGAUGAUCAGCCACACUGGGACUGAGACACGGCCCAGACUCCUACGGGAGGCAGCAGUGGGGAAUGUUGGAAAAUGGGCGAAAGCCUGAUCCAGCAAUGCCGCGUGAGUGAUGAAGGCCUUAGGGUUGUAAAGCUCUUUUAACCGGGAUGAUAAUGACAGUACCGGGAGAAUAAGCUCCGGCUAACUCCGUG